GUAAGGAAUAUUGGUCAAUGGAAGCAACUCUGAACCAGCCAUGCCGCGUGCAGGAAGACGGCCCUCUGGGUUGUAAACUGCUUUUAUCUGGGAAUAAACCUGCUUACGUGUAAGUAGCUGAAUGUACCAGAAGAAUAAGGAUCGGCUAACUCCGUGCCAGCAGCCGCGGUAAUACGGAGGAUCCAAGCGUUAUCCGGAUUUAUUGGGUUUAAAGGGUGCGUAGGCGGCCUGUUAAGUCAGGGGUGAAAGACGGUGGCUCAACCAUCGCAGUGCCCUUGAUACUGAUGGGCUUGAAUGGACUAGAGGUAGGCGGAAUGAGACAAGUAGCGGUGAAAUGCAUAGAUAUGUCUCAGAACACCGAUUGCGAAGGCAGCUUACUAUGGUCUUAUUGACGCUGAGGCACGAAAGCGUGGGGAUCGAACAGGAUUAGAUACCCGGGUAGUCC
rnacentral:rRNA from 1 species